AAAAAAAAACUAAAAUUAGCCAAAAAUCGAAAACGGAAGGGGUACGUACGUCCUUGGUGUUGUCAGAACAUGCUAGCACAGUGAGGCGUCCGGGGCGCAAUUUAAGAAGAAAAGAAAGGAAGAAGAAGAGAAACGUGCCAAGGAGAAAGUGAGGGAACGAAGAGAAGAGGGGAGGAGAGGAGAGAAAAAGAGAGAGGUCAAGAUCAGGAAGAGAUGUGUCACAGAGUGGAUUAGAGGAAGUAAAAAGGGGACGAUAUUUGAGAGUGACCUGUUCCCUGACUCUACAUUCUGCCUUUAAUACAUAAAGGUGAAAAAUCAAUGAGUGUGGUCUUGGCAGGCCAGACCUGGCAGUGAGUUCUACUCACGGAGCUUGCCUUAUUCAGAAGAGUCAGAAGAAAAGAAUCAAUGGACUUUAUUUUCCAGAUGCACU
ensembl:lncRNA